ensembl:lncRNA
GUUCAAAGGUGGUGAGAGGCAGGAUCACUGACACGGGCUCUUGGGGAACCUGGGCGUCUAAUUCCAAGCUGGAACCUAACCAGUGCAGUCUAUUCCUCCCAAAAGUUUCCCCUGGCAGAUCCAGGGGAAACUUGAAAAUCUUGGCACAGCUGGGUGGGGCGGAGCUCUCCUCCGAUAAGAGGUACCCGGGAGGCCUGCUUGCUGAAGGUCCUGGCUGCUGGGUCAGGUGCGGGAGAGUGAACUGUGCGUCCGGGUUCCUCACAGCCCUCUGGAACAAGGGGGAAUAUAGGCCAGCCUGGACCUUGUACCCUGACAGGACCUGAGUCAGAAGAGGCCAGGUCACCAUUGCAGGCUCUUGGGUGAAACGAAGCAUCUGCAAAUGCGCAGGACGGCACCGUUCUGAACUAAGGCGGCUAGUCACCUUAAAGCGAGAUACCGCGAGAACUCUGAAGCCUCGCUCGGUGAGACCAGAGUGUCCUGGAAUGAGAGACACGUGGGAGCCGUGGUUCCUGUACAGGCCCCAGUUCCCAUCAGCAGCACGAACAAGUGGGAACUGACUGUCGCCACCUGUGUAGCAACAGUAACUCAUCACAUUUCAGCCGGUGGGGAUGCUCCACACGGGAACGUAUCCAGGUGGUUCAUCUGAGCCGUGGACCCACAGGCCUGAAGAGCCCUAGCUGACUAAGCCAUGCUGAAUGGAUCAUUUACAUUCGUGGAGCACUUCAGGACUCACGGCAGCCAACUACCAGGCCUCCGCUGUGGGAAUCUUCUUGGUAUGCAGGCACAGACAAGCCCCUUGAAGAUGGCUGCUGCCCCAGGUCCUCCUGUACUGAAUUUCUUCUAAGUAGCUCAUGGAAGAAUCUGGUUCAUUAUAUGUGAAGUUUAUUUGGAAGAAUGAAAAGAAUUGUUGCCCUCCAGAAGAACUGCUUAGUGACAUCUGUGGAGAGGUGCUGGACAUCUUGAGAUUCCUCCUGACCUAGGGCUAUGGAGUGGGGCCAAAGCCAGCACUAUGGUUGCCCUUUGUCACAUUGCUGCAGUUUGUUAUUGUUUGUGGAGGUUGUUGGAAUUUGGUCUCAGUGACUCUUCUGAUAGGCAAUGAUACAAUAUUUUUUCAAUAAGGUAUACAGCCUGGGGCCGACAGCACAGACUGGCUCUGGAGGUGCAGGAGCCUGCCCACCUUCUUAUACCCAGUCUGGGUUGUCUGACUCUGUCUAGCCAUAUUUCCUAGCCUCUGCAGUCAUAAGAAAUCCUAAGACAUUCAUGUAUUCUAUGCUAACUACCUUGAAGAGUGAAUUGUAUAUUUAGAUCCAAAGCAUGUGAGAUGAUUUCAAGUGAACUUAAGCCGUGACCAACACCUAACAGCAUUAUCAUGGUCUUUCCGGCUAAGUGCCAUACUUUGAGUAUCUGAGUUCACACAUAAAUAAUGUUAUACACCUUAUUCUGUUUUCCAGAAGAUGUUUCUUUGGAUCCCAGAUGUUCAAAGCAUCGUCAUGUUAGGAGCCAGGAAAUGUUUUGUCAUUUCUGUUAUGUGUGAAGAAUAAUAUUUAAAAUAUUUCCCUGAAUUUGUUAUUUUCUGUCUUGCUUUGCAAUUUCUAUCAUUUGUAAACUCAAGUAGGUUUUUCUCUGUAUGUUUUUGGUGUGCCUGAUUAAACCUGUUAUUGUGGUUUUAUUUUGACACUCUUGGUGUUAAUUUUCAGGAAACACCUGUCUAAAGAACAACAUAGAGCUCAUCCUACAGGAGUGAGCCAGCCAUCUCUGCCAGGCAUAGUGGAGUUCUAACAUCUGUGUGUUCAGGCCAAAUGGUGUCUGAACCAGUUUGAUUUAAUUUACUUAUCAUUCACGUUGGAGGUAAUUCACAAUAUAAAGAUAUGUUCACAAAGAGAUCAUUUCUGCCAAACUGAAAACAAUUUCAAAUUAUCCCUGGAUGUGUAAAUAUUGAACAUCGAGUCAGAACUCCCUCUC